GGGAUAACACUUGGAAACAGGUGCUAAUACCGUAUAACACUAUUUUCCGCAUGGAAGAAAGUUGAAAGGCGCUUUUGCGCCACUGAUGGAUGGACCCGCGGUGCAUUAGCUAGUUGGUGAGGUAACGGCUCACCAAGGCCACGAUGCAUAGCCGACCUGAGAGGGUGAUCGGCCACACUGGGACUGAGACACGGCCCAGACUCCUACGGGAGGCAGCAGUAGGGAAUCUUCGGCAAUGGACGAAAGUCUGACCGAGCAACGCCGCGUGAGUGAAGAAGGUUUUCGGAUCGUAAAACUCUGUUGUUAGAGAAGAACAAGGAUGAGAGUAAAACGUUCAUCCCUUGACGGUAUCUAACCAGAAAGCCACGGCUAACUACGUGCCAGCAGCCGCGGUAAUACGUAGGUGGCAAGCGUUGUCCGGAUUUAUUGGGCGUAAAGCGAGCGCAGGCGGUUUCUUAAGUCUGAUGUGAAAGCCCCCGGCUCAACCGGGGAGGGUCAUUGGAAACUGGGAGACUUGAGUGCAGAAGAGGAGAGUGGAAUUCCAUGUGUAGCGGUGAAAUGCGUAGAUAUAUGGAGGAACACCAGUGGCGAAGGCGGCUCUCUGGUCUGUAACUGACGCUGAGGCUCGAAAGCGUGGGGAGCGAACAGGAUUAGAUACCCUGGUAGUCCACGCCGUAAACGAUGAGUGCUAAGUGUUGGAGGGUUUCCGCCCUUCAGUGCUGCAGCA
rnacentral:rRNA from 1 species